GUAUUUGUGGUUCAGUGGUAGAAUUCUCACCUUCCAUGUGGGAGACACUGUUCAAUUCCCAGUCAAUGCA
rfam:Loxodonta africana unplaced genomic scaffold scaffold_194, whole genome shotgun sequence.